GCGCCUGUGCCUGAGCGUAGGAGGCUGCGUUAUCCCCUUGAGAGUAAAUGAGAGCUGUACUUGAAUCCACUGUUGUCACGGAGCUAAAGGCAGUGAAUUCCGCUAAAAUGGUCAGGUUUUGGUAAAGAGUUGGAAGCAUUGUGCAGCUGAGAUCCAUUCCACGGAGUGAUACCAAUCUACAUGUUCCAGACGUUUUUUCCAGAGCUUUGUGGAUUCCCAGUUUAGGUGGCUGGGUGGCGAGCCAACCGUGUUUGUGACUCUGACUUUAGACGGAUUGCCAGGAUCUUCCUCAUCUUUAUGGUGGUCGGACUAACACAAACUUAAAAGGGCCCCAACGGUGAGAAAUGAACUCUUGUCAAUAAAGGCAAGUGGAACUAAGGACGAACUGAGCUCAACGAAGUUAAAAGGAAAGUUUUCUUUUUUAUGUGUGCACUUUAUUAUUUUAGUUUAUUUUUCAUACCUGCUUUCUUAUGUAUGUACCAUCCCUGUGUAUUUAAUACACUUAAUGCAAACUGUCAUUCGGGUGUGGUAUUCUUUUUAUUGACAUUCAAUUCUCAGGCUCUUAACAAUUUAGUGUCUUCUGAUUCUGGUCCACAUUGAUAAGACUACUUUAGAGUAUUACACCUAUGUACAUUAUUGCUACCUCGUGAUAAGGGUUACAUAUAGAUUCCCUUGAUGGCAUCGCCCUGGCCUCCAGCACCACUGUGAGGAAUAAUGGUGCAGAAAAACUACUCCAUGCAUUUGUUACUUCUAGGCUGGAUUACUGCAA